ensembl:lncRNA
AAGUCAGAAGCCUUGAUAAACCACACCUCUUUGGCAUUAGUGUGGAUUGUCAGUAUAUGUUUUUCUAAUUUGCAUUAGAUGCUGUAUGUCACUUGAUAACAAAAAAAAUCAUUAAGUAUCUCAUCAUUUGUUUUAGAAAGAUGAACAGAAGUCUUUUGUGUUUAAAACAACAUGAGGAUCGCUGCAUGCUUCAUCGUGCUAGCCUGUAAAGACCUCCCCUUUGUCAAGUAUGCCUGGGAGUUCUGUGGGCUUGCCGCAGCGACUGCAUUGGAUGACACCUCCAUCGACUCUCUGUUCUGGCAUGAGGCCAAUUAUCAUCACCCCGUGGAUCUCCCAGACACCAGAGGAC